rnacentral:tRNA from 1 species
GGACCCCGCCGAUCCGGGCGGCGGGGCUUCAAAACCGGUGGGGGGCAUGGAGACAUGUCCCCGGGAGGUUCGAUUCCUCUGUCGUACCG